UACGUAGGGUGCAAGCGUUGUCCGGAAUUAUUGGGCGUAAAGAGCUCGUAGGUGGCCUGUCGCGUCGGCUGUGAAAACUCGGGGCUCAACUCCGAGCUUGCAGUCGAUACGGGCAGGCUAGAGUUCGGCAGGGGAGACUGGAAUUCCUGGUGUAGCGGUGGAAUGCGCAGAUAUCAGGAGGAACACCAAUAGCGAAGGCAGCUCGCUGGGACGUUACUGACACUGAGGCGCGAAAGCGUGGGGAGCGAACAGG
rnacentral:rRNA from 1 species